UCACUUACCUGGACGGGGUCAAUGGGUGAUCAAGAUGGUCCAUGGCCUAGGUUGGUGACCUCCAUUGCACUUUGGAGGGGUGCCCGCCUAAGGUCGGCCCAAGCGGUCGAGCCUACGUCAUAAUUUGUGGCAGUGGGGGCUUGCGUUCGCGCAGCCCCUGC
rnacentral:snRNA from 1 species